UACGGAGGGUGCGAGCGUUGUCCGGAAUCACUGGGCGUAAAGGGCGCGUAGGCGGCAGGCCAAACGUGCGGUGAAAGUCCGGGGCUCAACCCCGGAUCGGCCGUGCGGACUGGUUUGCUAGAGCACUGUAGAGGCGAGUGGAAUUCCGGGUGUAGCGGUGGAAUGCGUAGAGAUCCGGAGGAACACCGAUGGCGAAGGCAGAUCUCUGGGCCGUAACUGACGCUGAGGAGCGAAAGCAUGGGGAGCGAACAGG
rnacentral:rRNA from 1 species